rnacentral:rRNA from 1 species
CCUACGGGAGGCAGCAGUGAGGAAUAUUGGUCAAUGGGCGUAAGCCUGAACCAGCCAAGUCGCGUGAGGGAUGAAGGUCCUAUGGAUCGUAAACCUCUUUUAUAAGGGAAUAAAGUGCGGCACGUGUCCUGUUUUGUAUGUACCUUAUGAAUAAGGAUCGGCUAACUCCGUGCCAGCAGCCGCGGUAAUACGGAGGAUCCGAGCGUUAUCCGGAUUUAUUGGGUUUAAAGGGUGCGUAGGUGGCUUUUUAAGUCAGUUGUGAAAGUUUGCGGCUCAACCAUAGAAUUGCCAUUGAAACUGGGAGGCUUGAGUAUGUUUGAGGUAGGCGGAAUGCGUGGUGUAGCGGUGAAAUGCUUAGAUAUCACGCAGAACCCCGAUUGCGAAGGCAGCUUGCCAAGCCAUGACUGACGCUGAUGCACGAAAGCGUGGGGAUCAAACAGGAUUAGAUACCCCUGUAGUC